AUGGCCAGAGAGGCAGCAGCCACUAGCCGCCGCGUGGCUCCCAUGGCCGGCUCUCCGGUGCGCCGCCACGUGACCUCGCCUGUGCGGACAACAUCGUGGAGCCGGCGAGCUGGCAUCCAGUGGAUCCGCGUCGCAGGGGAAGGAUGGGGGAUGCGGGGCGACUUGGGAGGCGGCAGCCGUGGAAUCCGCCGGAGUACCUGCCGUCGGGAGAGAGAGAUUUUUUUUUUUGACAUGGAACAACAUCGAGAGAGAGAUGAGGAGGAAGAAGAAGAAAAUAGGGAAAAAAGAUGGGAGGCUGACAGGUGGGCUUUCCGUCCACAUCAGCGUAUUGUCCAUAUAGGUACGUCAAGUCAGCCUGACAGGUGGGGCCUACUUGUCAGUUUUCUUGUUUUCGCGACUAAAUUAGACAAUCAGUGCUCCGCGUUACGGGUUAUGCACAAUUUUGAUGGUUUUCUAUGCCCUGACGUAAAUGUGGUACCAAAGUUGUUAUCCUAG
rnacentral:rRNA from 1 species